rnacentral:tRNA from 1 species
GACACUAUGGCCGAGUGGUUAAGGCGUUUGACUCGAAUUUAGAAGUUAUCAAAUGGGCUCUGCCCGCACAGGUUCAAGUCCUGUUGGUGUCG